rnacentral:rRNA from 1 species
UACAGAGGUCCCGAGCGUUGUUCGGAUUCACUGGGCGUAAAGGGUGCGUAGGUGCAUGUUAAGUUUGAUGUGAAAGCUCAGGGCUUAACCCUGAAAUGGCAUUGAAUACUAGCGUGCUGGAGGUUUGGAGGGGGGACUGGAAUUCUCGGUGUAGCAGUGAAAUGCGUAGAUAUCGAGAGGAACACCAGUGGCGAAGCGAGUCCCUGGACAACACCUGACACUGAGGCACGAAAGCCGGGGAGCAAACAGG